GAAGAAAGCAAAAAGACAUAAAAAAAAAGGAGGAAGGGGGAGAAAAAGAAGAAGAUGUCAUUGCUGGAUUUUCUCCUACAAAAGUGACAUUGAAGCUAUAAAUUUUCUGGAUUUUGGGACUUUCUUCACGUGGGUCUACUCUUAACUCUAUUGCAUGUUUCUUUUGGUGAUUUUAAUAAAUUCUAUUGUAAAUAUCACUAUAAGUGAGUAGAUUUUUCAAGAUUUCAGAGUUGGGUUGUAAUAUUU
rnacentral:misc_RNA from 1 species